rnacentral:rRNA from 1 species
GACGAACGCUGGUGGCGUGCCUAACACAUGCAAGUCGAACGAGAAAGUGGAGCAAUCCAUGCGUACCGUGCCGACUGGGUGAGUAACACGUGACUAACCUACCCUGGAGUGGGGAAUAACCUUCCGAAAGGAGGGCUAAUACCGCAUAACGUCCUGUGGCUGAGAUGCCGUAGGACCAAAAGAGUAAUUCGCUUUGUGAGGGGGUCGCGGCAGAUUAGCUAGUUGGUGAGGUAACGGCUCACCAAGGCAGUGAUCUGUAGCCGGCCUGAGAGGGCGCACAGACACACUGGAACUGAAACACGGUCCAGAACCCUACGGGAGGCAUCAGUGGGGAAUUUUGCGUAAUGGGGGAAACCCUGACGCAGCAACGCCGCGUGGAGGAUGAAGGUCUUUGGAUUGUAAACUCCUUUCGAUCUGGAGGAAUAUGACGGUACCGGAAGAAGAAGCCCCGGCUAACUUCGUGCCAGCCGCCGCGGUAAGAC